AACCUUAUCAAUGGGGUUACCCCGAUACUCUAGCCACACAUAAGUCCCCGGGCAGCGCGGCUACACAUAAACAAGGCGGUCACACCGAGAAGGGAAAUUAAUACUCACCUGGAUCGUGGCGCAUUGACGCCCGAUCCUCCAGUGAAACCGGUCCAGCUGGAGAGGAGUUCUAAGGGACGCCGGCCGCUGCGGUCCUGUUCUUAAUAAUAAUAUACACAGGGCCCACAACAUUAAAGAUGGAGCCAGCGUGCAUGUGAGGUCACCCUUUAAACGCUCGUUUUGGGGUCAAAUGCCACAUACUGACCAAUCACAGUACUGAGAGGCAUAUUUAAGCCCUGUAAUGCCUUUUCUCAGUGCCCUGUCAUGGUUUCCACUUGUUGGUUGUCAGAGAGCGCGUUCUUGUUCAAAUUUUCUGUUUUUUGACAUUGGCUUGCAUUUUUUACUUUCCCUACUUCUGGUUCCUGACCUUUGGCUAGUAUUUUCGUAUCGUCUCAUUCUGUAUCCUUGACCUCGACUUGUCUAUUGACCUUUCUCUUUAACGUUAAGUCCGGCCAUUCUAAGGCCCGAUAUACAUUGUAUUUUGUGUUAUCAUAGUUUUGCGUGUUGGGUCAUACAGUAGUUGUGACAGAAAGUUCACCUUGGACUACUUAAUAUGCCUCCACUUUGUGUCCAUUGGUAAGAGCAAGAGGCUUCAGAGGCAGGAAAUCACAGACCAUUUAAUGGGACCCACCUACUGCCCAUGGGUGGGAGCAGUAGGGGUAAAACUAGAAUGCCCCCAAAAUUCUUUUAUGCGCCAUACCUCAUUGCUAAUUGCAUGGGUUCUUUUAUCAAAUGUGCAGUCACAGCUGGCCAGUUGCUAUGUAUUUUAAUUCUUAACUGCUGGACAGUGGUGGAGGAACAAGGGGGA